UUCUUAUUGGAUGAUGACUAUCACGUGUCAUGUUCUGAUUGAAUAUCAACUUCAUGAAAAAUAAAAUGUAUCAUUGUUUUCGUUGACAAAUUAGAACAUGACGCGUGACAAUCAUUGUCC
rfam:Glycine soja cultivar W05 scaffold506_59, whole genome shotgun sequence.